GCUUCCGGGUGGGCUCUGUGGCUCCGGGCUCGGCCAAAUUGUUCCUGGUCGCACGCCAGUGGCACGCGGGUCUUUGAGGAAGACUUGGGGGUCGCGUGGGUCGUGGGGACUCAAAGUUCCUGCGGCGCCGCCUGGUGGCGAGAUGUGGACAAGCCUUCGGCGGCAGCCAGCAAACGGCUACUGGGCUGCACGCCCAGGAGCCCCUCUGUCUCCACGCUUCAGAGGCCGAAUGGAUGUUUAGGAUUAGUUGGAACCUUGAGUAGAGGAGGGAACACUGUUGUGUGUCUGACCUUGUGCGCAAUCACUGGAUUUCCUGCAUGUAACAGGAGUGAUGGUGAGCCCCGGUUUGCGAGUAAAGGGAAUAACCAGAUGAUGCGGUUCCCCGAAGGGAACUGUAGGAGCCAACUGUAGGAGAAAGGACCGGCCAAAGAAACCCACCCUGGCCCUGAAUCCAGAGCCAGUGAAAGAAACACUUUAGCCCUGAAACCAGAUCCAAAUCUGCCCCUAACCAACUAAGCAGAAAACGAACCAAUCCCCGAGGACGAGAUCUAGGCAAUCAGAGCUCAAGGGACUGAAAUCUGACCAAUUCCCACCCAGAAAAACUUCUUCAUGGAAGACUGUAUAAGCCCUGCUCGCCUGCCUGUUCAGUUCGCGGCUGUCUUUUUUCACCCUGGCAGAGUGGAUUCUUCCCUCCCAAUAAACAAAUCUCUUUUUUCGCCAGAGCAGAGAUGAAGCCUGGACCGAGCGGAGCAGAGAAGGGCUUUAACGCUUUGGCUGGGGAAACCUUCCCCUAGGGGACCAGAGUUGUGGAAACCUGAGCAGAAUUGUAACUAACAACUUCGUUGGUGAAGCCCUGCGCUGCUGGAGCAAAAGCUGAGCUGAGGACCGAACCCAGGGCCACUGAGCUAAGUCCCCAACCCCCAAAAUUCUUCUAGUAAAUUUUAUAAAGGUCUUUUAAAAAAUUGUUA